GGGCCCGCACAAGCGGAGGAACAUGUGGUUUAAUUCGAUGAUACGCGAGGAACCUUACCCGGGCUCGAACGGCUAUAGAAUACGGAUGAAAGUUCGUAGCCAGCAAUGGCUGUAGUCGAGGUGCUGCAUGGUUGUCGUCAGCUCGUGCCGUGAGGUCGUCGGCUCAAGUGCCAUAACGAGCGCAACCCUUACCGCCAGUUACCAUCAAGUAAAGUUGGGGACUCUGUCGGGACUGCCACCGUAAGGUGAGAGGAAGGUGGGGAUGACGUCAAAUCAGCACGGCCCUUACGUCCGGGGCGACACACGUGUUACAAUGGGUGGGACAAAGGGAAGCGAAGUAGCGAUACGGAGCGAAUCUUCAAACCCACUCCCAGUUCGGAUCGAAGUCUGCAACUCGACUUCGUGAAGCUGGAUUCGCUAGUAAUCGCGCAUCAGCCAUGGCG
rnacentral:rRNA from 1 species